UGGGGAAUUUUGCACAAUGGGGGAAACCCUGAUGCAGCGACGCCGCGUGAUUUAGAAGGCCUUCGGGUUGUAAAAAUCUUUUGUAUGGGAAGAAAAUGACAGUACCAUACGAAUAAGGACCGGCUAAUUCCGUGCCAGCAGCCGCGGUAAUACGGAAGGUCCAGGCGUUAUCCGGAUUUAUUGGGUUUAAAGGGAGCGUAGGCUGUUUGUUAAGCGUGUUGUGAAAUGUAAGAGCUCAACUUUUAGAUUGCAGCGCGAACUGGCAGACUUGAGUGCGCACAACGUAGGCGGAAUUCAUGGUGUAGCGGUGAAAUGCUUAGAUAUCAUGACGAACUCCGAUUGCGAAGGCAGCUUACGGGAGCGCAACUGACGCUAAAGCUCGAAGGUGCGGGUAUCGAACAGG
rnacentral:rRNA from 1 species